rnacentral:rRNA from 1 species
GACGAACGCUGGCGGCGUGCUUAACACAUGCAAGUCGAACGGAAAGGCCCUGCUUUUGUGGGGUGCUCGAGUGGCGAACGGGUGAGUAACACGUGAGUAACCUGCCCUUGACUUUGGGAUAACUUCAGGAAACUGGGGCUAAUACCGGAUAGGAGCUCCUGCUGCAUGGUGGGGGUUGGAAAGUUUCGGCGGUUGGGGAUGGACUCGCGGCUUAUCAGCUUGUUGGUGGGGUAGUGGCUUACCAAGGCUUUGACGGGUAGCCGGCCUGAGAGGGUGACCGGCCACAUUGGGACUGAGAGACGGCCCAGACUCCGACGGGAGGCAGAAGUGGGGAAGAUUGAAGAAUGGGCGGAAGCCGGAUGCAGCAACGCCGCGGGCGGGAUGACGGCCUUCGGGUUGUAAACCGCUUUCGCCUGUGACGAAGCGUGAGUGACGGUAAUGGGUAAAGAAGCACCGGCUAACUACGUGC